rnacentral:misc_RNA from 1 species
UAAGAGCAAAAUGGGGAAGAGUUCAUUCGGGAAGGUCACGAUCCAGAUUGACCGAGUAGUUAUGCUGGGUGCAGUAGCUGGGGAGUACACCUUGUUGCCCGAGAGCAAAAGCGGACCCUCAAGGAAUUUAGAAAUAGAAUUCCAAUGGUCCAAUAAGCAGCAAAUGGAAUAAGGUUUACUCAAACUGCAUUUUAGUGGUAUAGGAACAAAUGUUUGGAACUUCUUUCGGUUUUCUGUUUCCUUUCUUCCUGUUUAAUUAUAAGGUGAAUGUAUAUAGUGUCUGGUAUAGGUGUUACUACGUUUCGAUCAUAUUUAGUUGUUGUAACGGCUGUUGUCAAUGUAUUCUUUUGUAACUUGAGUCACUUUAGUAUCAUCAAGGAAGGGACAUGGAUUCAUGGUUUGCUUCCUUUGUAUUUUUUGUAUUCAUAUGUUGUUUGAUGAAAGAAACAGUGUUUUUGGUUUGGACUGCCUUAGUUGAGGGAUGUGUAUUGUGAUUAAUA